GUAAAAAUGAAUAUAUCUCCGUAGACAGUGGGUGUUUUACAUAAUUAGUGAAAACUAAACCUACCUAGGAGUCCGAUAUAAAGUAUAUUGGGUCUCUCUGUCUUACGGAGAGACCUUUAUUAUUAUAAAU
rfam:Clostridium botulinum A str. Hall, complete genome.